UACGUAGGGGGCAAGCGUUGUCCGGAAUGACUGGGCGUAAAGGGCGUGUAGGCGGUUGAUUAAGUCUGGAGUGAAAGUCCUGCAUUCAAUGUGGGAAUUGCUUUGGAGACUGGUUGACUUGAGUGCGGAAGAGGUAAGUGGAAUUCCCAGUGUAGCGGUGAAAUGCGUAGAGAUUGGGAGGAACGCCAGUGGCGAAGGCGACUUACUGGGCCGUAACUGACGCUGAGGCGCGAAAGCGUGGGGAGCGAAC
rnacentral:rRNA from 1 species